rnacentral:rRNA from 1 species
GAUUGACCUCGGAUCAGGUAGGAAUACCCGCUGAACUUAA